CCACUGCCGGGGUACCAUGGGACUAUCUCCAGUCCUGAAGAGGCUCCUCUCAGUCACACGGCAGCUCUGGACAAGACUUGUGCAAAGAAAGAUGAUCUCGCUAUGCUGCCUAGGCUGGCCUUGAACUCCUGGGCUCAAGCAAUCCUGCUACACUAUGAGGAGUUGCAAAUACAGGGGGCGUGUAAUCACUCUGUGACUGGUGGCUGCAGGCUCUCCUAAUGGAUAUUUCCUAUUUACAGGGCUACCAACUGCCAAGCAUCCAAGCAGUCCCUAGGCAGCAAUCCAGCAGCUGACAGGGUUACCGGCGUCAACUGCCACAGAUGCUAGGCUGGUUUGCCAUAUUUACAUGGAUUUGAUCAGCAAUGAGCACAAAAGAUAGAGAUUGUUUCUUUCUUUCUUUUUUUUGAGGUGGAGUUUUACUCUUGUUGCCCACGCUGGAGCGCAAUGGUGAGAUCUUGGCUCACUGCAACCUCCACCUCCCAGGUACAAGUGAUUCUCCUGUCUCAGCUUCACAAGUAGCUCGGAUUACAGGCAUGCAGGACCAUGUCCAGCUAAUUUUUUUGUAUUUCGUAGAGACGGGGUUUCACCAUAUUAGUCAGGCUGGUGGCAAACUCCUGACCUCAAGUGAUCCACCUGCGUCGGCCUCCCAAAGUGCUAGGAUUACAGGUGUGUGCCACUGUGCCCAGCCUAGAUUGUUUAUUUCUUACUCAAACAGCUACAGCAUGAUCAGCAGCCUGUGUCCCUAGACACACAAGAUGACAGCAAACCAUAGGGGCCAGAUGACAGAAAGCACAGAUGGUGGCCACGGUGCUGCUGAGGCGCCAGCUCCACACUGCAGCCAGGCAGUGGUGUGUCCGCAGCUGUACCCCAAGGAGGGGCAAAGGGAGCAUCCCAGACGCAGCCAACCAGGGGCCCAGGGGCGCUGCUGUCACUGUCGUUUCUUACAAGGUUGCUUGUCUCCCUUAGUUUCAGGAGGAACCUCCAAGCAUUCUGCCAAACUCAGUUCACACGGUGAUGGACCUUGCCACACAGCUAUGUGAAGAUGUCCAAGGUCCUCAGGGCCCAGAACAGAGCUGUUCCCUACUCCACUGACCUCCCUGUUUCUAAAACCAGUGGGCUUUUUUUUUCCUUUGAGACAAGGUCUCUCUCUGUUACCCAGGCUGGAGUGCAGUAGCACAAUCUCAGCUCACUGCAACCUUCACCUCCCCGGGCUCAAGCAAUCCUCCCACCUCAGCCUUAUGAGUAGUUGGGAUCACAGAUGCGUGCCACCACAUCGGGCUAAUUUUUUGUAUUUUUUUGGUAGAGACAGGGUCUUGCUCUGUUGCCCAGGCUGGUCUCAAACUCCUGACCUCAAGUAAUCCACCUGCUUUGGCCUCCCAAAGUGCUGGGAUUACAGGUGUGAGCCAUAGUGCCUGGCCACCAGUGGGCAUUUUUUAGUUUUCCUUUACUUGACCUCUCAGCAAUAUUUGACACCAUGAACUGUCUGUCCUUCUUGGAACACUUGAUUUCCUUAUCAUCAAUAAUACCACCCUUCCUUCAUUUUCUGCCAACCACUCUCAAUCUCCUUUGCUACUUUCUCCUCUACUCAGUGUCUGCCCUGCGCAUUCUCCUUACUUUAUUCUACAUUUUCCUCUAAGAGAGCUUACCUUGUCUCAUUUCUUCAACUGCUACUUACAUGUAAAUUACCCCACUUAAAAAAAUUCCAUCUCAGACCUUUCUUCUGUGUUCAAACCUUUAGAAAUACAUACUCAGCAUAUUUACCCAUUGGCUGGGCACGGUGGCUCGCGCCUAUAAUCCCAGCACUUUGGGAGGCCGAGGUGAGCGGAUCAACUGAGGUCAGGAGUUUGAGACUAGCCUGGCCAACGUGGUGAAACUCCAUCUCUACUAAAACUACAAAAAAUUAGCCGGGUGUGGUGGUGCACGCUUGUAAUCCCAGCUACUCGGGAGGCUGAGGCAGGAGAAUCGCUUGAACCUGGGAGGUGGAGGUUGCAGUGAGCCGAGAUCAUACCAUUGCACUCCAGCCUGGGCGACAGAGCGAGACUCCAUGAAGAACAACCACAACAACAACAACAAAAAUUUAAGCGGGCCUAACACCCACGGCAAGCAGUGCCGGAGAGGGCAAUCAGACUGGGGGCCGGGGCAGGCCCUUGUUCUCACUCCUCACAUUCAUGACAAAUAUACCUGUGUCUUGGGAAAUUCUGGGGAGGAAAAUUCAGACCCUUCCUUCCACCGUACCCUCUCAGGAGGAGUGGUGGGAAGAGAGUGACUUCAUUGGGAAUCCUUAACCUGGGGGACGGAUGGCAAUCCGUCUGUAUCUUCCUCCAGCUGCCUGAGGUACAUUCAGUACUUGCAUCACCAGUUUCCACGUACAAAAACACCAGAAUUCAGGCAGCCUGGCCAACAUAGUGAGAACCCAUUUCUAAAAAUAAAAUAAAUAAAAUAAUAAUAAAGCCGAUUAGGGACCAUGAUUUUGCAUCUGCAGCCACAAGCGCCUGCUAACUGUCAUGAGAAACUGACCCUCCCAGUCAUAUGUAGAGGCCUCUGCCAUGGCAAAGAGCAGACCCCAGUGCAUUCCGUCUGAUCCCAGGAAGAUUGGAAGGACAAAGAAGCUGGAGGGGCGGGAGCUACCUUGUUGCGGGAAGUCAGGGACCCCAAACGGAGGGACCGGCGGAAGCCAUGGCAGAAGAACGUGGAUUGUGAAGAUUUUAUGGACAUUUAUUAGUUCCCCAAAUUAAUACUUUUAUAAUUUCUUAUGCCUGUCUUUACUGCAAUCUCUAAACAUAAAUUGUAAACAUUUCAUGGACACUUAUCACUUCCCCAAUCAGUACCCUUGCGAUUUCCUAUGCCUGUCUUUACUUUAAUCUCUUAAUCCUGUCAGCUGAGGAAGAUGUAUGUCGCCUCAGGACCCUGUAAUAAUUGCAUUAACUGCACAAAUUGUAGAGCAUGUGUGUUUGAGCAAUAUGAAAUGUGGGCACCUUGAAAAAAGAACAGGAUAACAGCAAUUGUUCAGGGAAUAAGAGAUAACCUUAAGCUCUGACCUCCAGUGAGCCGGGCAGAACAGAGUCAUAUUUCUCUUCUUUCAAAAGCAAAUGGGAGAAAUAUCGCUGAAUUCUUUUUCUCAGCAUGGAACAUCCCUGAGAAAGAGAAUACGCACCUGGAGGUAUAGGCUUAUAAACAGUCCCCCCAGGUGCGCCUGUCUCUUAUGGUCGAAACUGCAGAGAUGAGAUAGACUCCAGUCUCCCAUAGCGCUCCCAGGCUUAUUAGGAAGAGGAAAUUCCCACCUAAUAAUUUUGGUGAGACUGGUUGCUCUCAAAACGCUGUCUCCUGAUAAGAUGUUAUCAAUGACAAUGGUGCCCGAAACUUCAUUAGCAAUUUUAAUUUCGCCUCGGUCCUGUGGUCCUGUGAUCUCGCCCUGCCUCCACUUGCCUUGUGAUAUUCUAUUACCCUGUUAAGUACUUGAUGUCUGUGACCCACACUUAUUCGCACACUCCCUCCCCUUUUGAAAAUCCCUAAUAAAAACUUGCUGGUUUUUGUGGCUUGUGGGGCAUCAGGGAACCUACCGACAUGUGAUGUCUCCUCUGGACGCCCAGCUUUAAAAUUUCUCUCUUUUUUACUCUGUCCCUUUAUUUCUCAAGCCAGCCGAUGCUUAGGAAAAAUAGAAAAGAACUUACGUGAAUAUCGGGGCAGAUUCCCCAAUACUACCUGUUACCGGUUCCUUCUCCACACGCAGGUACUUCACUCUUGCUGCUCUGCAGAGAAUGAGUUGGAGGAGCAGAAGCCAGAUGCUCCCCUAAAACAGCUUUCUGUGUUUCCCUGGUCCUGAGAGUGUUGUAGGAAAACAAUUCUGGCAGCAGCACGGAGAGCAGGCUGGGGCUCUCUGAGACUCUCCCCUGGCUGGAUGUGGAGAAGGAGGUCACCAAGGCUGUGGCCAUGCCAGGGCGGUCCCUUAUGCCUGGAGGAGGGUGAGCUGUGGGAUGGCAAAGAGUCUCCUCUCCAAUUCAGGCUUCUCUAAGCCCUCCUCCCAACUAGGCUCCAAUCUUGGUCUUUAAGAACUGCAGACUCUCAACAUAAAUGGUUUUGUCCACACAUCAGAUGCAGGCGAACCCCACCAUCAGGGCUCGGCCUGGGAGGGUUCUUGGCUUUGCACAGGAAGGAAUUCAAGAGUGAGUUGACAGAGUAAAGUGAAAGCAAAGCACAUUUAUCAGAGCAACAGAGUAUAGGAAAAUGCCUGCUCUGUAGACAGAGCAGGGCUACCCCACAGGCAGGGCAGCACUGGUGGACGGCUGGCUAGCAGUCUUCAUAGCUACUCCUGAGUUAUAUGUGAUAUGUUUUGGAUCUGUGUCCCCACCCAAAUCUCAUGCUGAAAUUUAAUCCCCAAUGCUGGCGGUGGGCCUGGUGGGAGGGGACUGGAUGACAAUGGUGGAUUUCCCCCUUAAUGCUCUUCUGAGAGUGAGUGAGUUCUUGAGAGCUGGUCAUUUAAAGGUGUGUGGCACCUCUACCCCCUCUCUUCUCUCUUCCUCCUGCUUCCACCGUGUAAAGUGCUGGCUCCCCCUUUGCCUUCUGCCAAGAAGCAGGUUCUGCCAUGCUUCCUGUACAGCCUGCAGAACCAUGGGCCAAUUAACCCUCUUUCUUUAUAAACUACCCAGUCUUGGAUAUUUCUUUAUAGCAGUGUGAGAAUGGACUAAUGCAAUAUGCUAAAGAAGGGGUGGGUUGGCCAGGUGCGGUGGCUCACACCUGUUAUCCCAGCACUUUGGGAGGCCGAGGCAGGAGGAUCACGAGGUCAGGAGAUCAAGACCAUCCUGGCCAACAUGGCAAAACCUGUCUCUACUAAAAAUACAGAAAUUAGCCGGGCAUAGUGACACGUGCCUGUAAUCCCAGCUACUCAGGAGGCUGAGGCAGGAGAAUCACUUGAACCUGGGAGGCGCAGGUGAACUGAGAUUGUGCCACUGCACUCCAGCUUGGGCGACAGAGUGAGACUCUGUUUCAAAAACAAAAAAGAAGGAGUGGGUUAUUCACAAGUUUUCUACAAAAGGAGUGGGCAGUUCCCUGAACGGAGGAACCCUCUCUUUUAAGCCGUAUAAGGGGAACCUGUGGUGCUGCUAUGGCAUCUGUAAACAGUCACACGCUGGCGGGCAUGUCUUAUGCUAAUGUAUUAAUUACAAUUUGCGUGUAAUGAGCAGUGAGGGCAACUAGGGCUGUUCCUAUCCCCAUCUUUGUCCUGGCUGGGUGUGGCCAGCUGCCGCACUGCAUCCUGCCUGGAUCAGCCAGGCCUCCAUUGUUGCUGGGAAAAGAAGUCCCAUGGGGGGCCCACUUCACAUCCUGCACUGAGACGCACACAAACCCUGGUGCGGCCUCCAGCCCUCAGGCUGACCCGGAGUGACCACUUCACAUCCCGCACUGAGACGCACACAAACCCUGGUACGGCCUCCAGCCCUCAGGCUGGCCCGGAGUGACCACUUCACAUCCCGCACUGAGACGCACACAAACCCUGGGGCGGCCUCCAGCCCUCAGGCUGGCCUGGAGUGACCACAGCCACUUUAGAAUGUGUGCCAGAGGCAGCUUAAUGUCACCAAAAGAACUUGUUCCAAGCAAGCCCGGGAGGACAGGGGAAGAGAAGAGACCUGGUCAGUGGAGGAGCCACAGGUAACAGCUGGACUCUCUUCGUCCGUCCGCCCCCCACAGUCCCCGCUGGACUCUCUUGGUCCGUCCGCCCCCCACAGUCCCCGCUGGACUCUCUUGGUCCGUCCCCCACAGUCCCCGCUGGACUCUCUUGGUCCAUCUGCCCCCCACAGUCCCCGCUGGACUCUCUUGGUCCGUCUGCCCCCCACAGUCCCCGCUGGACUCUCUUGGUCCGUCUGUCCCCUAGCCCCUACUGUUCUGGAUGUCUGCCCAUUGCCACAGCCCAGAAGCUGGGAAUCUCAGCUGUGCCCUCAAAGACUGGACGUCAGGUGAGCUGUCCAUCCUUCCAGUGAGUGCCUUCUACUCUGCCUGGAGCUUCUCUACCUAGCAAAUGCCUCUAGGGCUUAAAAGAGCCUCCUUGUCCAUUCAGCAAGUAUGUAUUGGGUACCACCUGUGCGCCAGGCUGUGUGCAGGAACUGGGGCUUUCUCCUCGUGGAGUGCACAGUCUGCUGGGCUGGAGACAUACGAAUACUAAACAAGACACAGCAGAAAAAGGGGAGCCGAGUGCCCCAGGAGCACACGACAUAAGCCAGCCUGAUCUGUGGGGUCAGGGAGGCCAUUCUGAGGCUGUAGCCAGGUAGAGAGUGGCUUAAGCCAUGGAACUGUGUGGCAGAGGCCCCAUGGCACAGGACAGUGUGGCAAGUCAGGAAAAGCCUGAGGCUAAGUUGGGGAGGAAGAGGUACAGGUGAGACUAGAGAUGGGGCCAAACUAGGGGGGACCCUGUUAGCCUGCACUUCAUUCCAGGAUCACAGGACACUGCUAAUGGGUUCUCACAGUGGCUGUGUUGUUUUUUUUACGUUCUCUGGCUGCUCUAUGGCGGUGUUGAUGCCCCUGAUGGGAAAUGUUAGGGACCUGUGUUAGCACGACUCCUGUGGGGGUAAGGAGGAGAAGGAACAGGAACCCCCAGUUUGGGUGGCAGAUGGGACGCAGACAGCGAGAGUGAGAAAAGUCAACAUUGGAGCCAGAGGUGACCCUGUGUGGGCUAGGCCCAGGUGGCCGUCAUGGCCACCACACCAGAAAAGAAGCAACAAGUGGGGAAAUGUUUGCAAAAUAGACACAGGCCUCACCCAAAUCAAUGAAAUAAGACAAAUAAAAAAUUUUCCGGACCGGGUGUGGUGGCCCACGCCUGUAAUCCCAGCACUUUGGGAGGCCGAAGCAGGCGGAUCACGAGGUCAAGAGUUCAAGGCCAGCCUGGCCAACAUGGUGAAACCCCGUCUCUGCUAAAAAUACAAAAAAAUUAGCUGGACGUGGUGGUGGGUGCGUGUAAUCCCAGCUACUCGGGAGGCUGAGGCAGGAGAAUUGCUUGAACCGGGACCUGGGAGGCAGAGCUUGCAGUGAGCCGAGAUCACACCACUGCACUCCAGCUACAGAGUGAGAGUCUGUCUAAAAAAAAAAAUUCCAAUAGAAAAAAAUGGGCAAAAACAGGGACAAAGUUGAAAAGCACAUGGCCAAGAAACACCCGACAGUAACAAAUGCACAGAUGUGGGGAACUGGUGCGAGUCUUCAGAGCUGGCGGAAAUGGGAAGCGGAGUAACUAUUUUGGCAGAAAAAUACGUAACUUCCCUGCGAACCGGAAUCCCACGUGUACACAUCCAGAGAGUUCCCUUUGUGGGUUCAUGAGGGGACGCACGCAAGGGAUGUCCCAGCAAUGAGAACAUGGAAUGACCUGAAUGAGAGCGGGGGAGGGGCCACCCGGGACAAAGCUGCAGGGACAAGGACCACUCAUCCUCUGUUGCAACUUGCAGGCUCAGGAAGAAGGGUCUCCCCCGUCUACUGGAGUUCUUGACACUGGAAUUUGGGGCUUGUCACAGGCCUAUUCAGAAAGGGGCCUGGUCCUGAGAAAUAAUAGGGUAUUGAAGGCUUGUGGCUAUAAUGCUGCCUGUAGUUCCAAAGCUGGAAGAGGCAGCCCACAAGCAGACAGGGCGCCGUUUCUCCUGUGUAGGUGGAGACUGGGCAUAGUGGCUCACAUCUGUAGUUCCAGCACUUUGGGAGGCCAAGGCAGGAGGAUCGCUUGAGCUGAGCCCAGGAGUUUGAGACCAGACUGGGCAACAUACUUUACUGGACAUUUUGGGGACAUUGGGAAAAUUUGAACAUGGGCUGGCUAUUAAAUGAGAUUACAGAAUUACUGUUAAUUUUCUUAGGUGUGGUUAUGUGCAGUGAUGGUCUCAUUCUUGAGAGGAGGGCUGCGACACUUGGGGAGAUGUGUUACCAGCUGCAAAUCACUUCCAAAUGGUUCAGCCAGAAAUACAACAUGUAGAGAGCAUUUCGGAGAACAGGACAACAGCGCGGCAGCUGCUGAAUUCAGGUGGAUAUGGAAGGCGUGGUUUUUUUUUUUUUUUUGAGAUGGAGUCUCGCUCUGUCACCCAGGCUGGAGUGCACUGGUACAAUCUCGGCUCACUGCAACCUCUGCCUCCCAGGUUUAAGCGAUUCUCCUGCCUCAGCCUCCCAAGCAGCUGGGAUUACAGGCGCUUGCCACCACGCCCAGCUGUUUUGUAUCUUUCAUAGAGACGGGGUUUCACCAUCUUGGCCAGGCUGGUCUUGAUCUCCUGACCUCGUGAUCCACCCUCCUUAGCCUCCGAAAGUGCUGGGAUUACAGGUGUGAGCCACCGCGCCCGGUCGGAAGUAGUUGUUAAUAUUCUCUAUGUUGGAAGUUUUUUGUAAUGGAAAGUUGGAAGCAAAACAAGAUAGGAAGCAAGG